rnacentral:rRNA from 1 species
UGCCAGCAGCCGCGGUAACACGUAUGGGGCGAGCGUUGUUCGGAAUCAUUGGGCGUAAAGGGCGCGUAGGCGGAUAUGCAAGCUUGGUGUGAAAUCCCGCAGCUCAACUGCGGAUCCGCGCUGAGAACUGUGUAUCUAGAGUUCAAGAGGGGAAGCUGGAAUUCCUGGUGUAGGGGUGAAAUCUGUAGAGAUCAGGAAGAACAUCAGUGGCGAAGGCGAGCUUCUGGCUCGUAUCUGACGCUGAGACGCGAAAGCGUGGGGAGCAAACAGGAUUAGAUA